UACAUUUUAGUAUAAGAUGUACGGAGGUUUUUGAGACUUCAAGAGAUGGUUUGAUUCUAUCAAAUGUAA
rnacentral:tRNA from 1 species